UCUCUUGCAGUGCUGAAAACAACAUAUUCUCCACUCUAACGGAUCCAGAGUCCCAGUGCAAGUGAUGAUAUAAGGAAGACGUGUCCAGUGCUUAGAGGAGGACAGCCAACCAGCAAAAACACAACAAUGUAGAAGUAGCUAAAUCCCAAACAACCAUUUGUUCAUCAAAAGAUAAAUACUAUCAUCUCUACCUCCAGCACCAAGAAAGCAUCAAUCCAUGGACUGGCUCCUCUCAGGAGAAUUUAGUGUCUCAAGUGUGAAGUCUUUUCACUGGAACUUGAGAUGAAGGAGAAGAGAGAAUUCUAAAGGUUCCGCAUCAUCCACCUACCCUGACCAUCCCCCCUAAUCUGGACCUACCCUUGACUAACAGUCACAUGGUGUAGGGAGUAGAGUGCAGAAAGCAGAGGAUGUGCUGGUUCAUUUUCCUGAGCCACUUACUAACCACCUGACAGAAGGAAAAAAGUAGAAAAAAGAAGAAAUGAAAAAGAUAAAAGAGAGCUGGGAGUGAGGCAGGCAGCUACAUUUGAAAGCAAUCUGAAGCCACUCAGAGGUGGAGGAAAGAGAUUUAAAUUGCCGCAAGAAUUUGAAGGCCACCUCCCACACAGCCCAUCAGUCCUUCAGGGACUGUUCUUCAAGACCUACUCAAAGACAUUCUGUCCUAUGACCAGCUUUAGAGUAAUGGGGAAAAGAAUUAUGACAGUCACAUCAUAUGAUGAAAUACCAAGUAGCAUUUCAAAGGUCACACUUCAGAAAGUCUGUUAAUGAUAUGGAAAAUGAUUAAGCACAAAUUAUGUAAUUUAAAAAAUAAAGCAGUUGAGAUCUUAAUUUUGUAAAUAUAUAUAUAUAAUAAAAACAUACAGAAGCAAUGAGAAAAGACUGAGCAGAGAUAUAUGAAUAAGUUACCAGUAAUAUAUUAUUAUAAGUCGUUUUAAUUUUCUUUUAAAUAUAUAUGCAUUUUUAUACAC